rnacentral:lncRNA from 1 species
CCACAAGCCAGUGGUUAAAAAUUGCAUUGACUUGGAAGUUCAGAGGGACACAAUGGAAGCCCCUUUCCCUAUUCAUGGAGCUCCAGUGUGGUGGAAGAGAAAAACACACACGGACUAGAUUGGGGGAAAGGAGGAAUUCAAUGAAUCCUGGUGGACGGAACUGGUUUCUACUGAGUUCAGAGUUAAACUCCGAAUGUGCUGGGGUCUGUAUUCAUAUUGUGAUUUAAUCUGUAAAGAAUUACAGGCCAUUCGGUCACUUUCUGCAAGAAAAUCAUAUGCCUGGAUGUUUGGGUCCCCCCCCCAUAUUAAGACAAAUGUUUUUUCCAACUUUCACCAGCCAAAUUAAUGCUUGCCAUUCCUCUCAUUAAAAUAAAUUUACAUUUGCAAUAAAAGACUAGGCUGGGUUUUAAAAAGAUAAUAACAAUAUAUCGAUAUUUAUCUUUUAAUCUGAGAACUUUAUGAUCUUAGAGUUA